GGGACUCGAACCCGGAUCACAUCCACCGGAAAAAUGUAUGCUAACCAUUGCACUA
rnacentral:tRNA from 1 species